CUUUUUGGUACAACUUCGUUGAGUUGUUCCCAUACGCAAAUGAGAGAACCCAAAAAGAAAAAAAGUUUUGGUUAUCCCCUUUCCCAACCUCGAACUCUCCGAAAACCGGACACUUUCGUGUCUUGGCAGGCGGGCAGCUGCCUACAUCUACUCCAAUGGCAGAAAACAAUCUGCCCGAAAUCUGAAAAUCCUUUCACCAGCGAGCUUCUGAGGCUGAGGUUUCUGAUCUCUUUUUAGCUCGUUAACUCCCACAUUAUGGGUCUAAAUCUUGACUCGAUUGGAAAGACUUGAAGCUGCUAUUGCUAGUGACAGAAAUGCUGGGAAUGAGAAAUUAUUGAAUAAGGUUCGUGAGCUUUAGUCAAAGCUAGAAAAUGUGAAAGCGGAGCAAGCUUUAGAAAGAGAAAAGGCUCAGAAAGAGCUAAAGCAGCUACAUGCAGAAAAUGCCAAGCUCCAAUAUCGUAUAACACAUCUUGUUUGAGCACUAAAGGAUACUGAUUGUAUGUUACAAUCUAAGUGAGGGACUUUUGGGACUUAGCUCCAUUUAUCUCUAUCAAGUUGGAAUAUGCAAGUUGGGAAGAAUGAUAUUCCAUUUUGUGACCUGAAAGUGUACCAUGAUCAAAAGCAGCAGAUAAACUCCAAUGGUUUAUUUUUUAGCUUUCUUCAAAUUUCUGUACCUGCAAAUGGUCUCUCUUUGGACUACUAAAUGCAGAAUCAGAUUGAUACUUUCUGAAAGCUAAAGGAGAGCAAGUGCUGACUGUAUCAAUCCUUGAGGGAAAACGGUAAUGGCUUUGUAACUUCCCUGAUACUGCUAAACAAUUUAGAAGAUCGGUCUGAGAGAAAAGGUGAUGCCUCUGGUUUUUCUGUAGCUGCUAAACACUAAGAGAGUUGCUUUUGCAACUACUACUUAUCAUAAGCCAACUCAAUAGAUUUGCUGAUAACAGUUGGGGGAGUUGCUACCACAUUAUCUGCUGAA